ensembl:rRNA 5S_rRNA 5S ribosomal RNA
GAAAGACAAUCAUUGUAGAAUUCUCCCAUCCAAGUACUAACCAGGCCCAACCCUGUUUAGCUUCUGAGAUCAGACAAGACCAGGCAUGUUCAGGGUAGUAUGGCUGUAGAU